GUAGCUGUAGUAUAAUUUGUAAUGCGACCGUGUACAAAAUGGAAAUUAUGGGUUCAAGUCCCGCCGGCUACA
rnacentral:tRNA from 1 species